rnacentral:rRNA from 1 species
UACGAAGGGGGCUAGCGUUGUUCGGAAUUACUGGGCGUAAAGCGCACGUAGGCGGAUAUUUAAGUCAGGGGUGAAAUCCCAGAGCUCAACUCUGGAACUGCCUUUGAUACUGGGUAUCUUGAGUAUGGAAGAGGUAAGUGGAAUUGCGAGUGUAGAGGUGAAAUUCGUAGAUAUUCGCAGGAACACCAGUGGCGAAGGCGGCCUACUGGUCCAUUACUGACGCUGAGGUGCGAAAGCGUGGGGAGCAAACAGG